ACAAAUGCCUGCUUGAAAUCCAUUUCUCUGCAGUAGAGACCUUCUCAUAUUAUUGUAACCGUUAAUCCUUAUACAUUUUGGAAAUCUGAAAAGUAAGUUUUUAGCAAACAUGGUUUUUUUGAUUUAUGGGAAGUUGAGCUCUGAACUUCUAAUGUCUGCGUAAUGGUCAGAAAGCGGCGACGAUCUUACAAGAACGUAACUUUGUCAUUCAUUCUAAGUUUAUAUAAGUUUGCAUGUUUUUUAAAUCAGAUUUAAGUAAAUAGGUAUUCACAAAUGUAAGACAAGCAAGACUGGCAGGAUUUACGAGAUUACUAAGAAAUGCCUGAAUGACUAAUUUCAUAAUAGAAUUAAAC